GACAGAGGGUGCAAACGUUGCUCGGAAUUACUGGGCGUAAAGCGCACGUAGGCGGCUUUGUAAGUUAGAGGUGAAAGCCCGGGGCUCAACCCCGGAAUUGCCUUUAAGACUGCAUCGCUUGAAUCCAGGAGAGGUGAGUGGAAUUCCGAGUGUAGAGGUGAAAUUCGUAGAUAUUCGGAAGAACACCAGUGGCGAAGGCGGCUCACUGGACUGGUAUUGACGCUGAGGUGCGAAAGCGUGGGGAGCAAACAGG
rnacentral:rRNA from 1 species